UACGGAGGGGGCUAGCGUUGUUCGGAAUUACUGGGCGUAAAGCGCACGUAGGCGGCUUUGCAAGUUAGAGGUGAAAGCCCGGGGCUCAACUCCGGAAUUGCCUUUAAAACUGCAUCGCUAGAAUUGUGGAGAGGUAAAUGGAAUUCCGAGUGUAGAGGUGAAAUUCGUAGAUAUUCGGAAGAACACCAGUGGCGAAGGCGACUUACUGGACACAUAUUGACGCUGAGGUGCGAAAGCGUGGGGAGCAAACAGG
rnacentral:rRNA from 1 species